rnacentral:rRNA from 1 species
AUUGAACGCUGGCGGCAGGCUCAACACAUGCAAGUCGAGCGGAGAGAAGUAGCUUGCUACUGAUCUUAGCGGCGGACGGGUGAGUAAUGCUUAGGAAUCUGCCUAUUAGGGGGGGACAACAUUCCGAAAGGGAUGCUAAUACCGCAUACGCCCUACGGGGGAAAGCAGGGGUUCUGCGGACCUUGCGCUAAUAGAUGAGCCUAAGUCGAAUUAGCUAGUUGGUGGGGUAAAGGCCUACCAAGGCGCCGAUCUGUAGCGGGUCUGAGCGGAUGGUCCGCCACACUGGGGCUGAGACACGGCCCAGACUCCUACGGGAGGCAUCAGCGGGGAAUAUUUGACAAUGGGCGGAAGCCUGAUCCAGCCAUGCCGCGUGUGUGAAGAAGGCCUUUUGGUUGUAAAGCACUUUAAGCGAGGAGGAGGCUCUUAAGGUUAAUACCCUUGAUGAGUGGACGUUACUCGCAGAAUAAGCACCGGCUAACUCUGUGCCAGCAGCCGCCGUAAUAC